rnacentral:rRNA from 1 species
UUACCUACGGGAGGCAGCAGUAGGGAAUAUUGCUCAAUGGGGGAAACCCUGAAGCAGCAACGCCGCGUGGAGGAUGAAGGUUUUCGGAUUGUAAACUCCUUUUGUUAGAGAAGAUAAUGACGGUAUCUAACGAAUAAGCACCGGCUAACUCCGUGCCAGCAGCCGCGGUAAUACGGAGGGUGCAAGCGUUACUCGGAAUCACUGGGCGUAAAUAGCGCGUAUGCGGGAUAGCAAGUCAGAUGUUAAAUCCUAUGUCUUAACCAUAGAACUGCAUUUCAAACUGUUAUUCUAGAGUAUGUGUGAGU